rnacentral:rRNA from 1 species
AACGAACGCUGGCGGCAUGCCUAACACAUGCAAGUCGAACGAGACCUUCGGGUCUAGUGGCGCACGGGUGCGUAACGCGUGGGAACCUGCCCUUAGGUUCGGAAUAACUCCCCGAAAGGGGUGCUAAUACCGGAUAAUGUCUUCGGACCAAAGAUUUAUCGCCCUUGGAUGGGCCCGCGUUGGAUUAGCUAGUUGGUAGGGUAAAAGCCUACCAAGGCGACGAUCCAUAGCUGGUCUGAGAGGAUGAUCAGCCACACUGGGACUGAGACACGGCCCAGACUCCUACGGGAGGGAGCAGUGGGGAAUAUUGGACAAUGGGCGAAAGCCUGAUCCAGCAAUGUCGCGUGAGUGAUGAAGGCCUUAGGGUUGUAAAGCUCUUUUACCCGGGAUGAUAAUGACAGUACCGGGAGAAUAAGCUCCGGCUAACUCCGUG